rnacentral:rRNA from 1 species
GAUGAACACUGGCGGCGUGCCUAAUACAUGCAAGUCGAGCGAACGGACGAGAAGCUUGCUUCUCUGAUGUUAGUGGCGGACGGGUGAGUAACACGUGGAUAACCUACCUAUAAGACUGGGAUAACUUCGGGAAACCGGAGCUAAUACCGGAUAAUAUUUUGAACCGCAUGGUUCAAAAGUGAAAGACGGUCUUGCUGUCACUUAUAGAUGGAUCCGCGCUGCAUUAGCUAGUUGGUAAGGUAACGGCUUACCAAGGCAACGAUGCAUAGCCGACCUGAGAGGGUGAUCGGCCACACUGGAACUGAGACACGGUCCAGACUCCUACGGGAGGCAGCAGUAGGGAAUCUUCCGCAAUGGGCGAAAGCCUGACGGAGCAACGCCGCGUGAGUGAUGAAGGUCUUCGGAUCGUAAAACUCUGUUAUUAGGGAAGAACAUAUGUGUAAGUAACUGUGCACAUCUUGACGGUACCUAAUCAGAAAGCCACGGCUAACUACGUG